rnacentral:rRNA from 1 species
UACGUAGGGUGCAAGCGUUAAUCGGAAUUACUGGGCGUAAAGCGUGCGCAGGCGGUUUUGUAAGUCUGACGUGAAAUCCCCGGGCUCAACCUGGGAAUUGCGUUGGAGACUGCAAGGCUAGAAUCUGGCAGAGGGGGGUAGAAUUCCACGUGUAGCAGUGAAAUGCGUAGAGAUGUGGAGGAACACCGAUGGCGAAGGCAGCCGCCUGGGUCAAGAUUGACGCUCAUGCACGAAAGCGUGGGGAGCAAACAGG